rnacentral:rRNA from 1 species
GAUGAACGCUGGCGGCGUGCCUAAUACAUGCGAGUCGAGCGAACGGACGAGAAGCUUGCUUCUCUGAUGUUAGCGGCGGACGGGUGAGUAACACGUGGAUAACCUACCUAUAAGACUGGGAUAACUUCGGGAAACCGGAGCUAAUACCGGAUAAUAUUUUGAACCGCAUGGUUCAAAAGUGAAAGACGGUCUUGCUGUCACUUAUAGAUGGAUCCGCGCUGCAUUAGCUAGUUGGUAAGGUAACGGCUUACCAAGGCAACGAUGCAUAGCCGACCUGAGAGGGUGAUCGGCCACACUGGAACUGAGACACGGUCCAGACUCCUACGGGAGGCAGCAGUAGGGAAUCUUCCGCAAUGGGCGAAAGCCUGACGGAGCAACGCCGCGUGAGUGAUGAAGGUCUUCGGAUCGUAAAACUCUGUUAUUAGGGAAGAACAUAUGUGUAAGUAACUGUGCACAUCUGGACGGUACCUAAUCAGAAAGCCACGGCUAACUACGU